UACGUAGGGGGCAAGCGUUGUCCGGAAUCAUUUGGCGUAAAGCGCGUGUAGGCGGCUCGGUAAGUCUGCUGUGAAAGUCCAGGGCUCAACCCUGGGAUGCCGGUGGAUACUGUCGAGCUCGAGUCCGGAAGAGGCGAGUGGAAUUCCUGGUGUAGCGGUGAAAUGCGCAGAUAUCAGGAGGAACACCAAUGGUGAAGGCAGCUCGCUGGGACGUGACUGACGCUGAGACGCGAAAGCGUGGGGAGCAAACAGG
rnacentral:rRNA from 1 species